rnacentral:rRNA from 1 species
AUUGAACGCUGGCGGCAGGCCUAACACAUGCAAGUCGAGCGGAUGAAGGGAGCUUGCUCCUGGAUUCAGCGGCGGACGGGUGAGUAAUGCCUAGGAAUCUGCCUGGUAGUGGGGGAUAACGUCCGGAAACGGGCGCUAAUACCGCAUACGUCCUGAGGGAGAAAGUGGGGGAUCUUCGGACCUCACGCUAUCAGAUGAGCCUAGGUCGGAUUAGCUAGUUGGUGGGGUAAAGGCCUACCAAGGCGACGAUCCGUAACUGGUCUGAGAGGAUGAUCAGUCACACUGGAACUGAGACACGGUCCAGACUCCUAAGGGAGGCCGCAGUGGGGAAUAUUGGACAAUGGGCGAAAGCCUGAUCCAGCCAUGCCGCGUGUGUGAAGAAGGUCUUCGGAUUGUAAAGCCCUUUAAGUUGGGAGGAAGGGCAGUAAGUUAAUACCUUGCUGUUUUGACGGUACCAACAGAAUAAGCACCGGCUAACUUCGUG